UGUGUUUGUGCCUCGGUUUCGUGCGGUUGUUUUCUCGUCGUCGUCGUGUUUGGUACAUCGCCGUGCGGACGGAUGGUUCUUGUUGGGUUCCUUCACACCGGAUUUUUGAUUCUUGUGCUGUGUACUGCUGCAACUAACUUUACCACGCGUGAAUAUUUAUAAUACCGUGUUUCAGUAGUGCAUUCGAUUUUCUUCAUUUACAACGGGAAACUAUUUUCGUUUUUCUUUUAAGUGAAAAUCGAAAUUUUUGUGACAUUUUUCGUUGGUGGUAAACAACCACGAGUGACAGCCGAAGAUGUUUCAAAAACAGUUCUAGGGUAAUCAGCGAUCGGUUCAAGAUGUUCACCAACGGCAGGUGAAAAUCGCAAUUAGUUGGGAACAUUAACUGUGACGUAAUGUGAAUAAAGUAGUGAAGUAUUUUUCCAGUAGCUAAAUUUGUAAAUCCCGGAAGUGCAAUUAGAACCAGGUGAAACUGUGCACCGAGAGUCCUGAUGGUGUUUAUCGACGAUGACACAAUCGGAGGAUUCGAGAAAGGAUGGUCCUUCGGCAGCUGGGUUUCAGCCUGCGACGCCUUUGAAUCAGCAGCAACCGCAGCAACACCUGCAGCUUCCUGGGCAUCAGCCUGGCUCGGCGCUCACCUCGGAUACCAGUCGUACUUACGUGUUUCCCGGUCCGAAUGUGUCGGCUGCCGGUAGUGCCUUACCAGUAGGUAGCGGAGCAAACGCGGGUCGAUCGCUGUUCGAGCAUCCCCGCAGUGGAGGACACUCCCGGUCGAUAAGUCAUGGGGAAGGUUCGUUUCGCAUGGUCGGCGGUGCCGCGGGGAGACCUUCGGCUCUCAAAUCCGCUGUCAAAGGAGGUCAUCAACGGGCGCUUUCCCAUGGGCAAAUCACCGAUGCGCCGGUACCUCGCUCCGGCCAUAGUCGAGUUGGAUCCAAGACAGAUUUCAUACUACCACCGGGCCACAAGGAACAGCCGGAAGCUCGGGAAACGGGAACGGCUUCCACAACGGCCAAAGGACAUUCCAGGCAAGCCUCCCGAUCAGAGUCCAUCUACACACUUCGAAGGGCCGAUCGACCACCCUGGUGGAAGCGAAUGAUGUUCUGUCGGAGCAGUAAAUUUGAAGAUCGAGGCUACCGGAUAGUGGUUCCCAAUCAUACAGUGCCUCCUAAAACACCAAAAACUGACCACCCCAACGGUCGCCUCGUGGGGAAUAAAAUUCGGACUACCAAGUACACGCUGCUCUCGUUUGUGCCGAAGAAUUUGCUGGAGCAGUUCCACCGGGUUGCGAACUUGUACUUCAUAUUCAUAGUGCUGCUGAACUGGUUUCCCCAGAUAAAUGCUUUCGGGAAGGAGAUUGCCAUGAUCCCGGUACUGUUCGUGCUGGGCGUGACGGCAAUUAAGGACCUGUUCGAAGACCGACAGCGGCGGUCGUCAGACAAGCGGAUUAACAACUCGACGUGCCGCGUUUACAAUGGGGAAUCGGAACGCUACAAGAAAGUGCUAUGGCAAGAUGUACGCGUGGGCGACCUGGUGCAUCUGUCCAACAACGAGACCGUCCCGGCGGACAUUCUGCUGCUCAAAUCGAGCGAUCCGCACGGUGUCUGCUACAUCGACACUUGCGAUCUGGACGGCGAAACGAACCUCAAGAGGCGACAGGUGAUACGAGGUUUCGCCGAAAAACAACACAUUUUCACGGCCAGCAAAUUCACCAGCCGUGUCGAAGUGGAUGCCCCGUCGACGAAAAUUUACCGGUUUCAUGGAGCUGUGAUACACCCAUCGGGUGAACGGGUGCCGGUGUCCACCGAAAGUCUGCUGCUAAGAGAGAGCCGACUGAAGAACACUGACUAUGCCGAAGGAAUUGUGGUGUAUGCCGGGCACGAAACGAAGGCCAUGCUUAACAAUAGUGGCCCACGAUACAAGAGGUCACAAAUCGAGCAACAGAUGAAUAUCGAUGUCAUCUGGUGCGUGAUCAUUCUUAUCAUUCUGUGCGUCAUUGGUGCCAUCGGCUGCAAGAUGUGGCUCUCUUCAUUUGUGGCAUCCAGUGGGAACAAUAACGAAACAUAUCGCAUCCCAUAUCUUCCCUUCGAGAUCAAUCCGGAUUACGAGGGCUUGUUGGCGUUUUGGACUUUUGUUAUAAUUCUUCAGAUCAUGAUACCACUGUCACUGUACGUGACGAUAGAGCUGUGCAAAAUUAUGCAGGUUUAUCACAUCCACAACUGCAUAGAUCUGUACGAUCCGCAGACGAACAAGCGGACCGAGUGCCGAGCGAUGAACAUCACCGAAGAGCUGGGACAGAUCCAGUAUAUAUUUUCGGAUAAGACAGGCACACUCACGGAAAAUCGUAUGAUUUUUCGUCGAUGCACCAUCGUAGGGGUAGACUACAAUCAUCCCGAAACGGAGGAAGAAAAAGAACUGACCAAAAUCGGAGGUCCCGUACCGAACCUUCAGCCAAAUAUUAGCUUAGUAGAGAAUUUAAACCAGACUACUGAGUCCCACCGGCUCAGCGGUAGUGCGCAGCAGAUUCAGGAGUUCUUCAUCGUGCUGGCCAUCUGCAAUACGGUAGUAGUGAGCGCCACUCCGCACAAGGAUCACAUGAACGCCAGUGGUGUGAUCGAACUCAACGAUAGUGAUACGAGUGUAACGCUGGUCCGAUCAGUGAUAACAGAUGCAAUAGCAAACGGUACUGAUCCCCCUAGUGAUAGGUACGCGCGGUUGACUGAAUCGCGAUCUAUCACCCCGUCGCCACCGCCAAACGUCCCCACGUCACUGCCGUUGAAGCAAACCCAUGUGCCAUCGCUGUCGCCCAUCAGCAGCUCAGCAGAAACUUCCCCCAUGUCGGAAAGCCCUCCGAUGAAGCUAAAAGCAAUCACGCCAACGGCGCGAGUAAAAUCCCUAGUAGCCAAGCUACCGAAAGGUCCUUUCAAAUCUAACAAUAAGAAUAAAUUUAAUAUGAAUAGCAUUAAGUUCCCCAAGUCCCUCUCCCAGGGCUCAACACCAAGCGAUCGAAGGCCAAUCUUCGAGGCUGAAAGCCCCGACGAAUUGGCACUAGUUAAUGCGGCCUACAGUUACGAUUGCUGUCUUAUCAAUCGAAGUCCUAAUCACGUUUUAGUGAAUGUUCCCGGCGAAGGUGUCGUGGAAUACGAAGUUCUUAAAAUUUUACCCUUCGACUCUAAUCGUAAAUGUAUGUCGGUGGUUGUCCGAAAAACCGGAACUCAAGAGGUAGUUCUCUAUACAAAAGGUGCCGAUAGCUCUAUCAUUUCUAGUCUUGCUCCGUGUGCUCCCGGAUCGGAGGAGUAUCGACUGCGAGAACAGACUCAACAUCAGCUGAAUCUGUACGCUCGGCAGGGUCUACGUGUUUUAGUAAUGGCAAAACGGAAACUAGAUGCGACAGACUUUUCUGAGUGGUACACUCAACACCAGGAGUGUGAACUGAGUAUGGAUAACCGUGAGAAAAAGAUAAGGGAGUCUUUCGGAUUGCUGGAGAGAAACUUUACGCUGCUGGGAACUACGGGCAUCGAAGAUCGGCUACAGGAAGGUGUCCCGGAGGCCAUUUCGUCCCUCCUACAAUCUGGCAUUAUGAUAUGGGUACUUACGGGGGAUAAAACGGAGACGGCGAUCAACGUGGCUUACUCUGCGCGAUUAUUUAAUCCUCAAAUGGACAUUCUUCGGCUAACGGCGCGAUCGCGUGACUCGGCCGAGGCUUGCAUCAAUUUUUACUUGAAUGAGGUUGAAAAACAGCUCAACGAUAUGGACUUCUCGAUCCGGAGCGAUCGUGAUAAGGGACGGGCGUUGGUCGUGGAUGGCAAAACGUUGACCUUCAUUCUAGAUCUGCGGUCGAAUCUGACGAAACCAUUCCUACAGUUGACAAAGUACUGCUCAUCGGUGCUGUGCUGUCGGGCAACACCACUUCAGAAAGCGUUCCUUGUAAAGGUGGUGAAGGAGGAACUCCGAAUGAGCACGCUGGCGAUCGGUGACGGAGCGAAUGAUGUGUCCAUGAUUCAGAUGGCGGAUGUUGGAGUUGGAAUCUGCGGACAGGAAGGUAUGCAAGCUGUGAUGGCGUCGGAUUUCACGAUCGCAAAGUUCAGAAUUUUGGAGAAGCUGUUGCUGGUUCACGGCCAUUGGAACUACGAUCGUUUGGCGCGGAUGAUAACUUAUUUCUUCUACAAAAAUGCGGCAUUUGUGUUCCUACUCUUCUGGUACCAACUGUAUUGUGGUUUUUCCGGUGCCGUCAUGAUUGACGAAAUGUACCUGAUGAUCUACAACCUAAUCUUCACUGCCCUGCCGCCUCUUGCCAUUGGUGUCUACGACAAAAAGAUAAUCGACGACUUACUGCUCAACUAUCCGCGUCUGUAUCGACACGGCCGACUCGGGAAAGGUUACAAACCGUUCACUUUUUGGAUCGUCAUGCUCGAUGCGCUCUAUCAAAGCUUGGUUAUAUUCUUUGUCGCCAAGGCCGCUUUCUGGGAAUCGGACGUGGACGUGUGGGUUUUUGGAACUACUAUCACCUCGGCGUGCCUGUUCACGAUGCUGCUCCAUUGUGCCAUAGAAAUCAAAUCAUGGACAAUCCUUCACGUAUUAUCAAUCGUAAUUAGUAUAGGUUCGUUCUACCUGUUUGCCUUCGCGUACAAUACAGUAUGUGUGAAUUGCUUCGGACUGCCUUCCAACUACUGGGUGAUCCACAUGAGCAUGAGUUCAGUACAGUAUUAUCUGAUCACUGUCUUGACGGCAGUGCUCGCCUUGUUGCCUCGUUUAAUCUACCGCGUGGUGGAAAACACCGUUUGGCCGAGUGAGGGCGUUCGCGUCACUCUGCAGUACAAAGAGGAGAAACGGAGAGGUGAGAAUCUACUGGUAACCUGGUCCCGGUCCACAUCGGCCUCGUCUAUAUUCAGGUAUUUAACGACAACAACUACCACGACCACCAUGACCACUACCAAGACGACGUCUUCGUCGUCUGGCAAGAACAAUCCGGGCUCCAAGGGAAGCACACUGAAGGCACGCAAGAAACUAAACGCCGCAGUUGGCAUCCUGGAGCGAAACAAUCCUCAGGAGCGAUUCGGUUACUAGCCAGGCCUAGCGAUAGAGUUUAUGCGCCCCUCGAAAAAAAAGCUAGACGAACCACUAUGAACCGCCGAUUACUGGGCUGCGCAUAAGACUGUGACGAAAGCGUCAUCGACGACAGAAUGUGUAUAUAAUACGUAGCCACUCGUUUUUACAUUACUCUUCACAAUCACGCAUAGUUCAAGGCUCCAUAUUUUAAAACUGUUUCAUCUUACGCAGAACGUAUAAUAUAUUAUUUAUUUCGAUAGAAUUCCUGCCACUUAGCCGGCCUGUUUGAUUCUAAAUCGAAUGACUGGGACUGGAAGACUAAUGGACGCACUAAUCCACGGCACACCGUGCACUAGUGCAACAUUUUUUUCAGGGGGACGAAUCCAAGUGCUUGUUCUAUGUAUCGUAUGAAAUCACGCGUUUCGAGUUAAGUGUGAAUUAUCUAUACAUCCCAUUUGAAUUGCAUGAGCGUAUCGCAUUGGAAAAGUCUUAACCUCGACUAGAAAUGACUCGAGAAUAAUUAAUAACACUAACAUUUGAUAUUGUUAGUGUGAUUAUAUUAAUAACUGAUUCAGUUGCAUUUUAUUAUUUGAAACUCAAAACAAAUACGAAAAAAUAGAAUAGAAAUAUAUAGCAGAUACGCUCUCUCUAAUAAAUUAUGAAUAAUUCAAUAUUUUUCUAUGAUGAACAACUAAUAACUCAGUUAGAGACGAUAGCUAUUUAUAUGGGGCAUUGGACAAUUUUCUCUUUAUUUGAAAUGCCACACACCAUACGUUGAGAACGCACAAAGAUAUUAAUGAACGUUCCUAAAUCCCGCUUCAAAUUGGAAUUCAGAGUAAUUAUUUGAAAUCUCCUAAACUGUGGCAUAACCAUCUAGAAGUUCAAUUUAUCCAGUUUUUAAAGCGCAGUUUUACGGAACACUGCAUAUGAUGUAUACAAAUGUGCGUUGAUAUCCAUUUGCGGCAAAGAUAUCACAACCAUUUCGAGAGUAAGUCAGCAGAGUUUCGCACAUUUUGUUCGAUUGGAGUGCUCUAUAUUUUAAUAUUCAAAAUUUCCAAAAACGAUAAUGAUCGGUAUACUUUUACAUUUACGCAAACCAUCUUCAUCAAACGUGCAAAGCUAGCUAGCAGAAGCGUAGGAUUGCCAAUUCGGAGACGGCGAGCUUGAUUCUCGGUCCGGUCUAGGAUGGUUUCGGGUUGGAAACUUUCUCGACACCUUGGGCAUAGUGUAUUCAUUGUACUUGCCACACAAGAUAGGUACUCAUGCAAUGGCGGGCAUAGAAAAGCUUUCAAUAGUUAGCUGAAGAAAUGCUAAUAGAAUACGUCGAAAAGUCGCUUUCCUGCACAAAAGUUGUUUAUAAUAUUGGAAAAAAAAUCAUUGGACAGUCAUCAAACACGCUUGGAAGAUUAUUAGAUGCAAAUAAUAUGUUUUUACACGGUUGGUAUUCUUUAAUUCUCCGGUUGACCUGAUUUUUUUUACAGAUUUUCAAAUACCACCUGAAUUUUCUUGGAUUUUUGUAAAUUUUUUCAUGGGGUUAACUCAUAGUUUCAUUAACACUAAAGUUCUUAAUCGACUAAAAACCACCUGUGUAAAAAAAACUGGGUGUAUUGACAGUGCAGUGGAUUUAGAUGGCUUGAAAUUCGUAUGGAAUGAUUGCAUUAUGUGAUUGGUAUAAAGAAAUGAUCAAUCUGUUACUUCAUGAUUUAUGAUACCUAACUUCAACGUGGAGCUUGAAUGCUAUAUAGUGCAUUUAGUUAAACCACAGAUCUGCUUAAAAAAAAAUCUGAACACGGCCUUACUGUACCAAUAAUCGAAUUUCCUUUCAUAAAACAUAUUCCAGUCGGCAUGACAGCUAACUAAUCUUGUAUAAUUGUAUGUAAAUUAUGUUCAUUAUCUGUAAAUAAUCUAAAAAAAACUUUAAUAGUAGAAAAUCGUCCGCAGUAACUUGAUUAGUCGAAUAAACGCUUUUUUAAAAUUCGCCGCCUCACUUGACAUUUGUUGAACCUGGGGCUAUGGGGGCGACAAAAGCGUUUCGGUUAUAUUUGCUUGUUUCUAAUUAUUGUUCACCCCAAAUUUGCCUUUGCCUGAUACGGAGAAACAGAUAAUAUUCCAUGCAUUUUAAAUACAUCGCUAUAAGCUUAGUGAAGAUAGACAAGCUUAACUGCUUCUCAGAAUAGACACACGUUAGUAUUUGCCUCUCCAUCAUUUAUCGCCCCAGAUCAUGAUCCCAUAGCUUGAAUAUAAAAAAAAUACUGUGGGACGCUUUUCAAACGCAAACAACAUAAAGUGGCUGUGAAAACACGUGACGAUCUUACACAAAGCGGAAGCGGGGAGUCUUGGGAACCCUAACAUAUGAGGGGGCGCCCUCUAUCAAGGACAAUAAAUUAACCCAUAUAGACAAUUGCUAUAGCUAACGAUAUGCGGAAUCUUUUGAUUCCGCUUCUGAAUAUGCU